AAGUCUUAGGCGUUCCCAUUCUUAUUCGGCCACGGCCUCCCCGGAUGCCUGCGAGCAGAUCGAGAGGGGGCCGGCGAGCAGGGCGUGCGGCGCGCAGCGGGUGUGUGCAUCUUGUCGGGUUGGCGAUCCGAGCAGGGGAGGCGGGGGGGCUGGCGGCUGGGAGAGCGGGCCUCAUCGGGGACGGCGGCGGCACCGCGAACAGCUGGCCUCCUCGCGGCAGCCCGGGCGGAGACUGCGGGCGCGCGCGGCGGGUGGUGUCCGCGCGAUGGCGCUGGCGCUGCGUGGCAGAGGAGGCCCGCCGCUGCCCCCACGCGCGUCUCCGUCCACGACGCUCGCCGGCACCUCCGCAUCUGCUCACUGCGCCAUUUCCGCAUCUGCUCGCCGCGUCAUCUCUGCAUCUGCUCGCCACUGUUGGUCGCAUCGAGGCAGGCUCCCUCUUCCAGUACGCAGGCGGGGAUGGGGCGGAGGCGGAGGGGUGGAGGCGAUGGGUCGGAGGUGGCGGGGUGGAUGUCUCCUUGAUUCCACCCGCCCCCUUGGCCGGCCUCCUCGAGCUUCGACAGGCAUGCACGUCCCACGGCAUUGCCGGAGAUUUGCGCCUCCCUCCUUUGUAAAUUUUUUAGGUUUGCAAUUUAACAGUGCACAUUACAUUUCACGUUUAUGCACCAUAUGUUUAAGUACUUUGUAUCAGAAUAUAUUUUUUGCAAGGAGUUGUUUAUUUCGAAUUGUACAUUUAUUUGAGAUGGUGACUUUUGAAACAUCAAAUUCAUAUCCGUACAUUAUAUUUUCUUAAUUGAUUAGAAGAUCUCCUUGUACACAAUGUUUUUGGCUUUACUCUGUCCGUGGAAUUCAGAGUCAUCGAUGAGCACCUUCAGCCCUUUCCUGUUUGUGACCCUAGAUAAUGCCAUAUAUAACUGACCAUGGCAGUAAACCUGUUUGGACAAAUAUAAUCCAACUGUUUUUAGAGAUUGGCCCUGGCUCUUAUUGAUUGUCAUUGCGAAACACACCGUUAGGGGAUACUGUCUUCUUUUCAGCACAAACGGCCACUUAGAUUCACUUGGCGACAUGUUGAUUUGAGGAGCAUCACCGGAAGGCCGACUUUCAGUCUAAGCUCAUGGUUUGGGAUUCCAGGGAACUUCAAGCUGUUGAGGAAUUCCGUUGGGUAUAUAUGCUCUAUGCUUUUGCUUGUAGUUGCUUUGCACACAUUGUCUGAGCUAAGGUAUGUUACUUCUUCACCUUCUAUUUGGCUCAUUAUGUACUCAUUUAUCUCUUCUACCGUUUUGUUUUCUGGGCAUAGUAUAGCUCUUUCCUCGAGGAAUUUUGGGUCUCGGUAGUUGUUGAAAAGGUCUGGAUAGGUGCUUUUUACGAUUGUUUCUUUGGUUCAUCUCCCGUGUCUAGCAUCAGAUCACUUGGGAUUUGGAUCCACUCGUCUCCUUCAUCUGAUGUUGUGGUCCCAUCACCUAUAUUCAGUAUCCACUCAGCGAAUUCCUUGUUCUCCUGCUGCUGUUUUGUAUCGUUUGAUAUACAGCUAAGCCUCAUGUUCUCUGUGAGCUCGUAAAUUUCAAAGUGGUUCCAAAGAUAUGAUCGCUUGAUAGAUGCGUUCACUAUGUGUUCUCUCCUCCCUUUUGGAAUGACCGGAAGGAUUUGUCGGAAGUCUCCUCCUAGCACAAUGGUCAUCCCACCAAAUGGUUUUUUAUCGCUUUUGUCAUUGUUAAAUAUGAGUAUUUCCCUGAGGCUUUUGUCUAGUGCCUCGAAGCAUUUUCUGUUAGCCAUUGGAGCUUCGUCCCACAAAAUUAGAGAGGUCUUUUUCAGCAGCUCUGCAAGAUGAGUUCCUUGCUUGAUUUCGCAUGUUGAUUCAUCUAUUAUGUUAAUUGGAAUUCUGAAUCUCGAGAUUUAGAGAUCUUCCUUUCGUCGUUGUUGAAUUCUUUUCUAUAGAUCCACUUGUAUCAUUGUUGAUUUGUUCGCCAUCACAAUCUUUGUCUGAGUCAUCUUCCACAAUCAGUGCUCUACGUCUUCUUUUAUUUAAAGUAUUGAGUUUCUUCGUUGUUGAAUCUUCUUCUUUAGAUCCACUUGUAUAAUUGCUGAUUUGUUUGCCAUCCUCUGAUUCUUCAAUACUUGCAACCAUGCCUGAUAACGUUUUGAUAGAUGAACCACUUGUGACAUGUUCCUGCAGAAGACAAUUAUCAUAGUAUCAAAUACAUAAAAAGAUUAUUAUUUUAGGAUAAAGAUAAAGAAAAAUGUGUUUACCUCAACUUGAUCAUCAAAAUGUUUCAUCUCAAGCUUAUCAUUUAGCUCAAAUGUUCUUUUAACUAAAUAGUAUUCAUUUCCUUCUGUCAAGUUAUGGUCACUGAGCUUGAAUCGAAAGAUAAGUGUUUUUCCACAAAGCUGUUGUAUGCUCUUAGGAACCUCUUCAUAAUUUCCAUUAAGUGAAUCUAGCAUGUUAGUGAUUGUUGUCUUGAGCAUUCUUUGUGCUUUGUCGUCAAAUAUACUGCAGGUAGUGCUUGUUAUGUAGUCACUAAUUUGGAGCCGAAUCCAAUAUCUGUCAUAUCAAAGUUGUCAAUGUAAUGUCACGAUAAUGAAUAAUAAAUGUAAAAUAUUAUUUGGCACAAUGUUAUUACCUAGGAGUUGUUGCUUCAGGACAUGUAUUGCACUUACUGCAAUGAUAUUUGUUGGCUAUUUUAGUGCACAUUUUAUUGCAAACAUUGCAUGACAUGUAUCACCACAUAUCAUUGUCUAGUCGAACAAUUGUGGCCCUUGAUGUAAAAACAAAAUACUGCAAUGUAAAAUGUCAUGGAAAAGUUUUGAACAACAAAAGGUUAUUUAACAAUCAAGAAAUAAAAAAAUGAAAUUCAUGAAUUACCUGAUUUGUUGGGUUCUCGUGCCUCAUUUGGGUAAUUUCCUAUAAAGUUCUCCUAUUAUAAAACAUUUGAUCCUCUAAUGUACCUUGUGUACUUUUGUCUACCUCCAUUAGUUUUGGUACAUUUUCUUCAUAUGGAACACUAAAAUAUAUGUGGUAUUAGGACAAGAAGAAUAAAUAAGCAUAAGAAA